rnacentral:rRNA from 1 species
UAGGGAAUCUUCCACAAUGGGCGAAAGCCUGAUGGAGCAACGCCGCGUGUGUGAUGAAGGGUUUCGGCUCGUAAACACUGUUGUAAGAGAAGAAUGACAUUGAGAGUAACUGUUCAAUGUGUGACGGUAUCUUACCAGAAAGGAACGGCUAAAUACGUGCCUG